GAUGAACGCUGGCGGCGUGCUUAACACAUGCAAGUCGAACGAGAAGUGAAGACGGAAACCUUCGGGCGGAAGGCUUUAUUUCGAGUGGCGGACGGGUGAGUAACGCGUGGGUAACCUGCCUCAUACAGGGGGAUAACAGUUGGAAACGACUGUUAAUACCGCAUAAGACCACAGCACCGCAUGGUGCGGGGGUAAAAACUCCGGUGGUAUGAGAUGGACCCGCGUUCGAUUAGCCAGUUGGCGGGGUAACGGCCCACCAAAGCGACGAUCGAUAGCCGAUCUGAGAGGAUGACCGGCCACAUUGGGACUGAGACACGGCCCAAACUCCUACGGGAGGCAGCAGUGGGGAAUAUUGCACAAUGGGGAAACCCUGAUGCAGCGACGCCGCGUGAGUGAAGAAGUAUUUCGGUAUGUAAAGCUCUAUCAGCAGGGAAGAAAAUGACGGUACCUGAGUAAGAAGCCCCGGCUAACUACGUG
rnacentral:rRNA from 1 species